rnacentral:rRNA from 1 species
GAGUUUGAUCCUGGCUCAGGAUAAACGCUGGCGGCGCACAUAAGACAUGCAAGUCGAACGGACUUAACCAUUAGUUUACUAUUGGAGCGGUUAGUGGCGGACUGGUGAGUAACACGUAAGCAACCUGCCUAUCAGAGGGGAACAACAGUUAGAAAUGACUGCUAAUACCGCAUAUGCCUUGAGUUAUGCAUGUAACUAAAGGGAAAGGAGCAAUCCGCUGAUAGAUGGGCUUGCGUCUGAUUAGAUAGUUGGUGGGGUAAUGGCCUACCAAGUCGACGAUCAGUAGCCGGACUGAGAGGUUGAACGGCCACAUUGGGACUGAGAUACGGCCCAGACUCCUACGGGAGGCAGCAGUCGGGAAUAUUGCGCAAUGGAGGAAACUCUGACGCAGUGACGCCGCGUGCAGGAAGAAGGUUUUCGGAUUGUAAACUGCUUUAGACAGGGAAGAAACAAGACAGUACCUGUAGAAUAAGCUCCGGCUAACUACGUGCCAGCAGCCGCGGUAAUACGUAGGGAGCAAGCGUUAUCCGGAUUUAUUGGGUGUAAAGGGUGCGUAGACGGGAAGGCAAGUUAGUUGUGAAAUCCCUCGGCUUAACUGAGGAACUGCAACUAAAACUAUCUUUCUUGAGUGCUGGAGAGGAAAGUGGAAUUCCUAGUGUAGCGGUGAAAUGCGUAGAUAUUANGAGGAACACCAGUGGCGAAGGCGACUUUCUGGACAGUAACUGACGUUGAGGCACGAAAGUGUGGGGAGCAAACAGGAUUAGAUACCCUGGUAGUCCACACCGUAAACGAUGGAUA